UGGGGGGUGGGGGGGAGGACGCGGGGCGGGAGCGGUGACCGGGACCGGAGGGGACAGUUCUUCCAGGUUUGGGAAAGGGGCGGGGAGCUGAAGCGAUGAGGUAAUUGGAGCGGUGACCGGUCGGUCCUCGCGCGCCUCCUCGGGUCCCUGCAUCGAGUUGUGAAGGCACAGGCUGGGCGCGACUCAGGCACCCUGGAGGGACUCUCCGAGGGGUGCCGGGCUGCAAACCGGAGCCCGUGAAAUCCCCUCUGGGGAAGGAGAGGUGGGCCGGUUCCGAUCCCGACGUUCCCUUCGUCCCGGGCGUGCGGAGAAGCGUCUUAAGAGGGCUGACUCCGACCUUCAUGCACGUUAACCCUCAAACCGGUUUAGCCUCGGCGUUUUGGAACCCAGCCCACCGAGCCGCGGGGAUCGCCUUGGCGUGCAACUCAGGAAAGUUUUAAGGGUCCUCCCCCUCAACCCCCCGUCUGCACGUGCACCCUCGCCUUUCCUGCCUGUGAAAGCUGGUGACCACCCUGCUCUCCUUUCUCUUUCUGCAGGUCCGGAAAUCUGCUCAGAGCACGGAACUACCCAGCUCGAGCCUGGGUAGACGACCCGCGCACUCCUCUCGCCUCUAAUUCGGGAUCAUUAAUUUCAUCGGAAAUGAGGUAACCAGUGUAGGAGAUAGAGAAAGCAAACCGAGCAUCAGAUGGCAGUUCUCGUGAAUCCGCGCGGUAAGAACUUCCUCUGGACUCAGUUUUUAAAGUGCAGUUCUCAGCUCCUCGCCACCCGACCCUCCGUGGGUACCACCGCCAGGCAUUAGCUGGAAGGGAAGGACUCUUCUUUGGACUGGUGGUACCUGGCCAACAGGUGUGCCACCUGGAGGAGGAGAAGGCACAGCCAUGCUACAGGGAGCUCAGUGCGGCGGCGUUCUCCUGGCUGCAGAUAAUUCUGGAAGGCCGGCCACUGUCACCAGAACUCAAGGCCAGGAUCUCAAAGUAACCUGGCCAUACAAAGGCAUAUAAAACACUACCACCUGUUCACAGACUCACUCCAUUUUAUAUUUGUGGGAAACGAUCCUAGAAGCUGAAAUACUUCCAGAGUUCAACAGUCUGGGAAAUUUAAAAGAGGGAGGAAAAAAGCCCUUCAUCCAAAGAUCUGAGGACAGAACUCUGUUCUUUGAGGAUGGGAGGAGGUAAGAAGACCCUAUUCAUGGCUGCAGGAGAGGAAAAGAGCCCCACAAGGAAACUACCAACAGAUGACAGGAAUCACCGCCAAAGAGUUGCAAGAAAUUGGCAGAGACUAUACUGGUUGGUGGAAAAUUCAGUUCUGGAACCCAAGACAUCUAUUUCUCAGUUCAACGUGUGUUCUGUUUUAACACCCACGGACAUUUCCGUGAUAAGCAAAGUCCAAUUCUAGAAGACCUUUCUCAUGGUGGAGAAGAAGGAAAGAAAACAUUCAUUAUUGCUGAGAGACAACUCCAAAUGGAGCCAUAAUUAUGGAUAUCAGAGGGCAGCUGGGUACCAUACUCACUCUCCCAGUAGCACCUAGAACCCCAAAGCUUAUUAUUGAUGUGGAAACAAACAUACAGAUGACUGUGAAGUGUUCUAAUCCACAUGUAGCAAGGAUCAAUACAGUCCAUGAGUUAAAAAAGCACUGAGUAGGUUGCCUCUUAGGUCAAAAUUUCUUCCUUGUGGCAGGAAAAAAAAAAAAAGAAUGAAUUACUACUAAACAUAGCAAUACAGAUGAAUCUCGCAAUGUUGAAAAAUAAAAGAGGCUACACAUGAAAUAAGGUCUCCUGUAUUGUUCCACUUGUAUAAAAUUCAAAAUCAUACAAGACUAAUCUAUCAUGUUAGAACUAAAUAUAUAGUUUACUUUUGAUGAGGGAAAGGAUCGUGCCAGAUAGGGGGCAUGAAGAUGCUUCCAGGAGGCCAGAAAAUUCUAUUUCUUGACCCAGGUGAUGGACCCAGAGGUGGGUUCACUUUGUGGUAAUCCAUUAAGCCAUUUACCUGUGAUCUGGGUGGUUUUUACUAUAAGAAGGAUUUACUUCAAUUUAAAAGUUUAAAAAUAAUAUUCGCAUUGGGAAAGACAAAUUUAAGACGUAUUAGAAAAGCAUUCUGCUAAUUAAACAUUGGAUAUUUAUAUUUGUAGAGGAAAAAUAGACAAUUCAAAUGAGCUAAAGGAAAAAACGCGCAAAACUUCAGUGUAGGGCGAUGGGAACACUCCCACCCUGCUGCAGGGAGUAUUCAUUGCUACUGCUGCAUUUGGCUCUAUCUAUUAAAGAUAUACACAUCUGGUGACCCAUAUUCCCACCCUGGGUGUAUAUCCAAUAGAAAAACGUGCAUGUGAGCACCAAAAGAACAGCAACUCCAUUCAUAAUGGCCCCAAACUGAAAACAAGUUGUCUACCAACAGUAGAGUAGAUAAAAUGUGGUAUUACUAUAUCCAACCUUGGAAUACUAUACAGCCUUUCAAAAGGAAUGAACCAUAAUACCCUUAGCAUAAAUGAAGCUGAGAAACCUCAUGUUAAAAGAUAGAAGUUAAAAAAAAAAAAAGGCAUAUGUUCCCAUUUACUUAAAGUCCAAAAAAUAAGAAAAGAUAAAUAAGUGAAAAUAUCGAUACACACUUAGGUGGAAAAACUAAAGAAAAGGAAAAAAGAAGUUAUCAUAAAAGUAAGGGUGCUGGGGAGAGGGUGGGUUGUGAGUGGGAAGGGGUGGAUGGACAGCCCCUGGGCCAUAUUCAAUUUCUUGAUUUGAGUAAUGGUUAUGUGAGGGCUCACGUAAUAAAAAUUUAUGAAAUUAUACUUUUAUAUAUCAUACACUUUCUCUAAUGUAUAUUUCAUAACAAAAAGGGUAUAAAAAUCACAUGAAACCCAAUUACUCAGAGAUAGUUAUCAAUUUAACACUUUGAUAUGUGUAUUUUCCAGACCUUCUUUAAUGCAAUAUGUACCUCUUACCCACAUGGCUUUGUAGCCUUUAAUUUUUGUUUUCUUUAAUGAUUGGAUCUCCCAGGAGAAACUCUUGGGUUUUUUUGUUUUCAAUUUCCAUUUAAUUUUAACUAAGAGUAAAUAUCAUACAAGCUUUAUGCCCCUUUGGAAGGCUAAAGCCAUGGAGUGGCUUUCAGGAAAUUAGGUUGCUUUAAGCUAAGCUACAGUGAUUCAUGAACCAAUCUGCAGGAUUUUGCCGUAGCUCAUGGGAGACUUUUACUCCUCUGUUAAUAAUGCUGCAGCUUCAAAAGAGAAAAGCCUCUUUCCACCUCUUCAGUGUACUGCCUCUUCAAAAGAAAGGCCAGGCAGUGAGGGGAAAGGCCAGUAUGGGAGUGGUCAGGAGGCUUGGGGGGAGGAGGAGGUCACCCUAAAAUGUAUUCUAAUACUCAUCAUGCUGCUCCUGACCUAGGAAAUAUUAUAAAGUACUGAAAUCGAACAAAAAAUGAUCCGGGUGCUUUAAAAAAAAAAAAAGUUGUUCCAUUGCUCUCCUUGCCCAGAGGGCAGUCCAAGUUUCCUUCCCUCUGCCUGGAACACGCUGCUCCUCCCCAUCGCCUGAUCAGCAAACAUCCUCCACUGUUCUCCUUUACCCUUUUCAUCAUCUGCAUAUUUCAUCCUCCUUAACAUUACAUGGUUGAAGAAACCUUCUCUGACCACCCAAGCAACAGCUUCAUGGCACCCUGAACCUACCACAUCACAGCACUGGUCACCUUAUUUUGAAAUCGCCUAUUUUCUUGUCCACAAAUAUGCUGCUAAUCCAUAAGCUUCACACAUGCAAGGACGUGCAUGUCCUUCAUGCACACAUAUCCAUUUCACCAUCGAAACUGCCAGCUCUAGUGCACACUGGCACCCAAUAAAUACAGUUAUUGAAUGGGUGGAAAACAGUUGUGAGAUGAGAUGGGGUGUGAGGAGUGGAGCUGGGGAGAUGGCAACCCACUACAGUAUUCCUGUCUGGAAAAUUUCAUGAACAGAGGAGCCUGCAGGCUACACUCCGUGGGGUCUCACAGAGUCGGACACAACUGAGCACAGACACACAGACACACACACACACACACACACACACCAGUAAUAGCAGUUUGUAUCUUGUUUUAUAUUUUGUGAAGCAGUUUCACAAGUCUUACACAAUUCCAACAAUAAAACCUCCAACAUGAACUGAGAGGCUAUUAAUGUCAUUAUUUUAUAGAUGGGAAAACUGUCUGAGCUUAAGUAACUAGCUUCAUAAGAUUAUUUUUCAGUCUAAGGCAGGAACAGUAGGCAAGAAUACACAGAGAAACUAUACAAAAAGAUCUUAAUGACCUAGAUAACCAUGAUGGUGUGAUCGUUCACCUAGAGCCAGACAUCCUGGAGUCCAAAGUC